rnacentral:rRNA from 1 species
UACGUAGGGGGCUAGCGUUGUCCGGAAUCAUUGGGCGUAAAGAGCGUGUAGGCGGCCCGAUAAGUCCGCUGUGAAAGUCCAGGGCUCAACCCUGGGAUGCCGGUGGAUACUGUCGGGCUCGAGUCCGGAAGAGGAGUGUGGAAUUCCUGGUGUAGCGGUGAAAUGCGCAGAUAUCAGGAAGAACACCCGUGGCGAAGGCGGCUCUCUGGAACGCAACUGACGCUGAGACGCGAAAGCGUGGGGAGCAAACAGG